rnacentral:lncRNA from 1 species
AGGACAAUGAAAUUACAAACUCUAGGACAUUGUACUAUAUCAGGAACAAUGAAUUGAACACAUUAAGGAAAAAUGAUUUAAACUAUAUAAGGAACUACCACUGCAACUGGUAAAGGAACAAUGAAAUGACAAAUUUAAGGAACAAUGAUCUUAACCAUGCCCUCAACUUGUUUAGGUACAACAUAUUGACAUUCAAAUUCAUACCUCGCUCAUCUUCCUCGUCGCCUUUUUCUUCUUCUUCAAUACCAGCUUCUCCGUCUCCGACUCAGAAAAGGUGAGCCAAGACCAACUUCAUAUUCAUCUGGUCUAGGGUAUAAACCAGAUAUCUAAGUUUCUGGUAAAAAAUCAGGAACAGGAAAGGGUGCGUUAGACGUCGAUG